GACCAGACUCCUACGGGAGGCAGCAGUGGGGAAUAUUGCACAAUGGGGGAAACCCUGAUGCAGCGACGCCACGUGAGUGAAGAAGUAUUUCGGUAUGUAAAGCUCUAUCAGCAGGGAAGAAAAUGACGGUACCUGACUAAGAAGCCCCGGCUAACUACGUGCCAGCAGCCGCGGUAAUACGUAGGGGGCAAGCGUUAUCCGGAUUUACUGGGUGUAAAGGGAGCGUAGACGGCAUGGCAAGUCAGAUGUGAAAGCCCGGGGCUCAACCCCGGGACUGCAUUUGAAACUGUCAGGCUGGAGUGCAGGAGAGGUAAGUGGAAUUCCUAGUGUAGCGGUGAAAUGCGUAGAUAUUAGGAGGAACACCAGUGGCGAAGGCGGCUUACUGGACUGUAACUGACGUUGAGGCUCGAAAGCGUGGGGAGCAAACAGGAUUAGAUACCCCCGUAGA
rnacentral:rRNA from 1 species